AUAUGUAUAUGUAUUCUGUCAGUUUUUCAAAAUCUUCCACUUCGUCAAUUAAACAUUGCCCAUUUAACUUUCAAUUAAUACAAAAAUUAAUACAAAUGUAAACGUGUUUGGUAUUAUUUUAAUCGUACGACUCUCAAUAGUUUGUCUAAGAUCAUCUCGUAACAAUAUAAGAAAAAAUAAAGAAAAUUAUAUUUUUUGAUAUCAGAUCGAGUUACGUCAAUGCAAUACAUAUCUCACACCGAGGUUUGCCUCGAGAAUGUCUCCCGGUUGUGUCCGGACAAAUUUCUGGUCAUAUAUUCAUGAUAUACAUAUAUACACAAUACAUUUAUGUGUCACGCGAAGGAAAAUAUAUAUUAUAAAAUAUAUAUUAUAUCUUAUAUGUUAGAAAAUUUCAUAUUUACAUAUAAUUGUAAAUGUAGAUUCAUACUUAAAAUUUUAAUUGUAGAUGGACAAAUGCAGUACAUAUGAAGUGAGUUAUUGAGACAAAUUUGCGAAACGGUAUUGCCUUCUUACAAGCUAACAUGUUAGUGCGAUUGCUACAAUUAUUAUUCAAAUUGUUUUUUCGUAAAUCAAUAAUGUAAUAUAUGUUUUUAUUAAUUUUUUAGGCCAGCCUAAUAUUGAAAUCAUCGAGCCGUUUCGAACCCGCCAUUCCGCUGUUGAUUAUUACUUACAAAGGCAAGGUGUUUACUUCAACACAGAAUUUUCGGUUUAUAUCGAUAGACCUUAUUCAGUAGGACGUUAGUCCAGAGCUGCUAUUCGCAGUGUUAAGACAUGAAGCGAAGAGUGAGGUGUCAGCAAGCAUCGGUGCUGAAUUGUUAAUACGAGAUUAUCGGCGCAUGGCGACAUUGGCGACUAUUUCAAUGAUGGCGACACUAUCGACCAAC